rfam:Oryza glaberrima chromosome 4 Oglab04_0283_2, whole genome shotgun sequence.
AAUAAGUGCAGCUAUAAGUUUUCGCGCCCAAAUUUGAUCAUGCGUCUUAUUUGAAAUUUUUUUAUAAUUAGCAUUUUUAUUGUUAUGAGAUGAUAAAAUAUGAAUAGUACUUUACUUGUGACUUAUGUUUUUAAAUUUUUUAAUUUUUUUUAAAUAAGACAAACGGUCAAAGUUGGACGCAGAAAACCAUGGCUGCGCUUAUU